GAUAAUCGUAAAGCUGAUCAGUAGAGAGUUGCAAGGAAAGCCACUGCGGAAUUUUUUAUUUCCACUGAAGUUACGAAAUUUCAGACCAACGUUUUCUCUUCUAAGCGAUUUGGCUGGGUUCCGUUAGGUAGCGGUCAUGCGAAUGGGGUCACUACUCUGAGAGGCUUAACCACAGAGGCACAGACCGUCAUCGAAUGGGGUCAGUGGACUAGUAGCAUCGCCACUGCUAAGAACUACACUACGGUAUAGGGGCAUCCAUCGUAACAAUUCUUCAGGAAACGAGGUGGGAGAGUCAAAAUACGGCCAUCGCCUAGUAUUCAGUGCCUAAAGCUAUCCUCGCUACCUGCCCUUCCUACUUCAGCUUUGGUUCUGUACAGUGCCGCGCACGGCCCCACAGGCUAAGUUGUAUUCCAACGCGGACUAUGCGUUAGGAAAGAAAAAAGGAAAGAAAAAGAAAAGAAAACAAAACAAAAAAGAAAAGAAAAAAAAAUCAGCUUGAGAUGAUUUGGGAAAAGAUAAAAUACACACUGUCCGUUAGUUAACUUGGGAGGUGCUUUAUGUGCAGUUAUACCACUUGCCAACAAAACUUGCAAUAUCUAUGGGUAAAAAUUAUAUUCAAUAUCCACACUCCUUUAUUUUUACCAGGUGCAACUGCUUGACCCUCCCUCCUAAAGAGAUUCCACAUUUUCUGAUAAACUACUAAUUCCAAAGAUUUUUAGUUCCCAAUUUGUUUCAUCCCCAGAGUUUCUUUGCCGUCUGCUUGCUUUUGAGGAAAUGGGUAGUACCAACAUUUACUACGUGUCACAUAAUUAUGCAAAAAUACAAAAAUGUGUAGCCCUACUGAAUGAAGAUGGUUGCAUUAAGGAUCGGUGGUACGUUUGCACAUAAUCCAGUUCAAUGACGAUGGUCAAAGUACGAAACAAUACUUGUGAUAAUGUAUCCCUUGCAAAAUUGGACAUCAGAUUUUUGUUACCAACAUUCGUACAAAACGCAUUCUGCAGAUUACAGCGAUCAUAUUGUACUUCAUGCUCGUUUAGACGAUGUAGACACCUUGGCACAAACUAACCCUUUCCCGAAUAUAAUUUUCCAUAAACCACAGCUAGAUCGUAUGACGUGACAUGCUUUACUCCCAGGCAGACCGCUAUAGCUAAGCCGUUUAAAUUGUUUAAUAAUCACUUUCGAUCUGAUAAAAAAAAAUAAAGCUAGUAGCCAAUAAACAAUUCAAACAAGA